rnacentral:rRNA from 1 species
GACGAACGCUGGCGGCGUGCCUAAUACAUGCAAGUCGAACGCUUCUUUCCUCCCGAGUGCUUGCACUCAAUUGGAAAGAGGAGUGGCGGACGGGUGAGUAACACGUGGGUAACCUACCCAUCAGAGGGGGAUAACACUUGGAUACAGGUGCUAAUACCGCAUAACAGUUUAUGCCGCAUGGCAUAAGAGUGAAAGGCGCUUUCGGGUGUCGCUGAUGGAUGGACCCGCGGUGCAUUAGCUAGUUGGUGAGGUAACGGCUCACCAAGGCCACGAUGCAUAGCCGACCUGAGAGGGUGAUCGGCCACACUGGGACUGAGACACGGCCCAGACUCCUACGGGAGGCAGCAGUAGGGAAUCUUCGGCAAUGGACGAAAGUCUGACCGAGCAACGCCGCGUGAGUGAAGAAGGUUUUCGGAUCGUAAAACUCUGUUGUUAGAGAAGAACAAGGACGUUAGUAACUGAACGUCCCCUGACGGUAUCUAACCAGAAAGCCACGGCUAACUACGUG